UCUUUUAUGAAUCGGUGUUUGUGCACCGUCGGUCAUGAGGGCCAAGUGGCGUAAGAAGCGAAUGCGCAGGCUGAAGCGUAAGCGCAGGAAGAUGAGGGAAAGGUCGAAGUAGACGUUAUCAGAGUUGCUCCAAAUUUGGACUCCAAAUGCCUCUUGGAAGAACUGAGGAUGCCGGAGACAUAGCCGCACCGGAAACGGCCGUAUGAAGACUCAAAUCGAAGUCAGAUGAGGAUUUCCAUUUUCGGCGACAUCAGACUGUAUAGAAAUAAAUACAAGGCUAUUUGGGAGCACGGGAAA